rnacentral:rRNA from 1 species
CCUACGGGAGGCAGCAGUGAGGCAUAUUGGUCAAUGGCCGUAAGGCUGAACCAGCCAAGUCGCGUGAAGGAAGAAGGAUCUAUGGUUUGUAAACUUCUUUUGUCAAGGGACAAAAUCAGGCUCGAGAGCCUGACCGAGGGUACUUGAAGAAAAAGCAUCGGCUAACUCCGUGCCAGCAGCCGCGGUAAUACGGAGGAUGCGAGCGUUAGCCGGAUUUAUUGGGUUUAAAGGGUGCGUAGGCGGGCUGUUAAGUCAGCGGUAAAAGCCCGGGGCUCAACCCCGGCGAGCCGUUGAAACUGGCUGUCUUGAGUGGGCGAGAGGUAUGCGGAAUGCGCAGUGUAGCGGUGAAAUGCUUAGAUAUUGCGCAGAACUCCGAUUGCGAAGGCAGCAUACCGGCGGCGAUCUGACGCUGAGGCACGAAAGCGUGGGUAUCGAACAGGAUUAGAUACCCCAGUAGUC